GAUGAACGCUGGCGGCGUGCCUAAUACAUGCAAGUCGAGCGAACAGAUAAGGAGCUUGCUCCUUUGACGUUAGCGGCGGACGGGUGAGUAGCACGUGGGUAACCUACCUAUAAGACUGGAAUAACUCCGGGAAACCGGGGCUAAUGCCGGAUAACAUUUAGAACCGCAUGGUUCUAAAGUGAAAGAUGGUUUUGCUAUCACUUAUAGAUGGACCCGCGCCGUAUUAGCUAGUUGGUAAGGUAACGGCUUACCAAGGCAACGAUACGUAGCCGACCUGAGAGGGUGAUCGGCCACACUGGAACUGAGACACGGUCCAGACUCCCACGGGAGGCAGCAGUAGGGAAUCUUCCGCAAUGGGCGAAAGCCUGACGGAGCAACGCCGCGUGAGUGAUGAAGGUCUUCGGAUCGUAAAACUCUGUUAUUAGGGAAGAACAAAUGUGUAAGUAACUGUGCACGUCUUGACGGUACCUAAUCAGAAAGCCACGGCUAACUACGUG
rnacentral:rRNA from 1 species